rnacentral:rRNA from 1 species
AGAGUUUGAUCCUGGCUCAGAUUGAACGCUGGCGGCAUGCCUUACACAUGCAAGUCGAACGGUAACAGGUCUUCGGAUGCUGACGAGUGGCGAACGGGUGAGUAAUACAUCGGAACGUGCCCGAGAGUGGGGGAUAACGGAGCGAAAGCUUUGCUAAUACCGCAUACGAUCUACGGAUGAAAGCAGGGGACCGCAAGGCCUUGCGCUCAUGGAGCGGCCGAUGGCAGAUUAGGUAGUUGGUGGGAUAAAAGCUUACCAAGCCGACGAUCUGUAGCUGGUCUGAGAGGACGACCAGCCACACUGGGACUGAGACACGGCCCAGACUCCUACGGGAGGCAGCAGUGGGGAAUUUUGGACAAUGGGCGCAAGCCUGAUCCAGCCAUGCCGCGUGCAGGAUGAAGGCCUUCGGGUU